UUAAUGGCAGGAAAAACCUCAAAAAGUGAAAUCCAUUCAACCGAGGAGCGCACACACGCAUCGCAUUGGUCUCUCUCUCUCUCCCGUUUCCCCCAAAUCCACCCCACCGAGCGGCGGCGAGGCGAGCCCACGCCGGCGACGAGAUGAGCUUCGAGUACCUGGGGGGGCCGAUCAGCAAGAACCCAAAUCAUGGUGGCGCCACCGUCGGAGUCCUCGACGACGCGCACUCCGGGAGGCGUGAGAGGGCCUGGCCUCGUCAGGACAAGCGCAGACCCUACCCUUCCAAGUUCAUCGUUGAUUUUGCCUGUGAUUCUGCCUGAUGUGUGUGUAACGUGGGUUUAAUGAACAAGUCGUCUUUGAAAUACCCAAGGACUGCAUCAGCAAUGACCCGCUGGUAACUGAGAGGAACACAAAACUUGUCAAGUUUUAUGAAGAGAUUGCGCAAAACCGCUAUCAGAGAUAUCAUCUUAUUGAGGCUGGAGCUGGCAAAAAAAAGCUAACGAAGUCCUGGGAGAACCUGCAGACCAAGCUGAAGACAGCAAGGACAUAUCAGCAAGAUGUGAGACAAGUUGGUGGAAAAGCCGUCCCUAUCCCCGCCCAUUUCACUGAUGAGGUGUAGUGCUUGUGAUUAAAACCUGUUCCGGAGCCAGUCUGUUGUCGUUAUCACAGGCUUCUUUUGUGAUUAGACUUCUUUUGCUCCAUGUCCGUUACUUCGUUAUCCCUAGCACAAACCUGUUUUGAAGGAAGGGUUUGGUAUUAGGUGACUACUUGAAAACCAUGAUCACUUUUCUUGGAUGAUGUCAAAUCUAUUCAUGGUUUUGAUAAUGCCAAAAGGUUUCAUGAGACAAUUUGUUAACUGAAUUAUCGGCGCUCUAGGUUUGUCAUUUGAAAUUA